UACGAAAGGUGCGAGCGUUAAUCGGAAUUACUGGGCGUAAAGCGCGCGUAGGCGGCUAUUUAAGUCGGAUGUGAAAUCCCCGGGCUCAACCUGGGAAUUGCAUCCGAUACUGGGUAGCUAGAGUGCGGUAGAGGGAGGUGGAAUUCCAGGUGUAGCGGUGAAAUGCGUAGAGAUCUGGAGGAACACCAGUGGCGAAGGCGGCCUCCUGGACUGACACUGACGCUGAGGUGCGAAAGCGUGGGGAUCAAACAGG
rnacentral:rRNA from 1 species